UUGACUUUGCAGCAGAAGGAGAAGAGAAAAAAAGACAUCUACAAACACCAAAGAGGCAGCCGCUGUCGGCACUCAUCCUUGUCACCAGCCUUCUUAAGAGGAGCCUUCCCCAGCAUUCGUCGCCAGUUCGUUACCUUACCCGUUGCAGUAUCCUUGCCUCUCAUGCUUAGAAGCUUAUGCUACUCUCAAGUUUUGCUACGUCUCACCACAGAACCCCUCUGUCUCCAGGUCUUCGAAAUCCACGUGCCGCCCUGGGUCCAGCCACGUCUCGACUACUCUGCCACGCCAAAGUCACUCCACGCCACGCACCAUCGGCCGAACUCACCUGGCUGUUUCGUCCUGCCGCUCCUGUCCACCUCCGGUCUUCAUUCUCCAUCUCAAGCCAGCAACUCCAUUCAAAGUCCCGACCGCAGCUCCACAUUCCCCACGGACAAUAAACCUUUUUCUAAACUA